rnacentral:rRNA from 1 species
UACAGAGGUCUCAAGCGUUGUUCGGAUUCAUUGGGCGUAAAGGGUGCGUAGGUGGCGGGGUAAGUCUGGUGUGAAAUCUCGGAGCUUAACUCCGAAACUGCAUUCGAUACUGCCGUGCUUGAGGACUGGAGAGGAGACUGGAAUUUACGGUGUAGCGGUGAAAUGCGUAGAUAUCGUAAGGAAGACCAGUGGCGAAGGCGGGUCUCUGGACAGUUCCUGACGCUGAGGCACGAAGGUCAGGGGAGCAAACGGG